rnacentral:rRNA from 1 species
GUGGGGAAUAUUGCACAAUGGGCGCAAGCCUGAUGCAGCAACGCCGCGUGAGGGACGACGGCCUUCGGGUUGUAAACCUCUUUUAGCAGGGAAGAAGCGAAAGUGACGGUACCUGCAGAAAAAGCACCGGCUAACUACGUGCCAGCAGCCGCGGUAAUACGUAGGGUGCAAGCGUUGUCCGGAAUUAUUGGGCGUAAAGAGCUCGUAGGCGGUUUGUCGCGUCUGCUGGGAAAACCCGAGGCUCAACCUCGGGCCUGCAGUGGGUACGGGCAGACUAGAGUGCGGUAGGGGAGAUUGGAAUUCCUGGUGUAGCGGUGGAAUGCGCAGAUAUCAGGAGGAACACCGAUGGCGAAGGCAGAUCUCUGGGCCGUAACUGACGCUGAGGAGCGAAAGCGUGGGGAGCGAACAGGAUUAGAAACCCUAGUAGUCC